rnacentral:lncRNA from 1 species
CCCCCACGAGGUGUUCUUCUCCUACGUACAGGGCUAGGACUCCUAGAAUAACUGCGGCGAUUGUUUCUACUGGGUGCCCUGACAGGACUUCGGCUAAUGCUUCUCUUUGAGGGGACCCUACCAGAGCUUCUGCUUAAGCUUCUUGCAGGUGAUCUAACUGGACUGCAACUUAUGCUCUUUCUUGACACUCUUACAGGGCUUCUGCUUAAGCUUCUUGCAGGCACUCUAACUGGACUGCGACUUAUGCUCUUUCUUGACACUCUUACAGGGCUUCUGCUUAAGCUUCUUGCAGGCGCUCUAACUGGACUGCGACUUAUGCUCUUUCUUGACACUCUUACAGGGCUUCUGCUUAAGCUUCUUGCAGGUGAUUUAAUUGGACUGCGACUUGAACUCUUCCUUAAUGGACUGCGAUUUAUGUUUUUUCUUGACACUCUUGCAGGGCUUCUGCUUAAGCUUCUUGCAGGCGCUCUAACUGGACUGUGACUUAUGCUCUUUCUUGACACUCUUACAGGGCUUCUGCUUAAGCUUCUUGCAGGUGAUCUAACUGGACUGCGACUUACGCUCUUUCGUGAUGAUACUCUGGGAGAACUCCUGCUCCGGCGGGAUCUUACAGGGCUCUUGCUGACACUUUUAAGAGAACGAGUUAUCACAGGACUUCUAUCGACCUUUCUCCCCUUCCUGCCCC